rnacentral:rRNA from 1 species
UACGGGGGGGGCAAGCGUUGUUCGGAAUUACUGGGCGUAAAGGGUUCGUAGGUGGCUUGCUAAGUCAGACGUGAAAUCCCUCAGCUUAACUGGGGAACUGCGUCUGAUACUGGUUGGCUUGAGUGCAGGAGAGGAAUGCGGAAUUCCAGGUGUAGCGGUGAAAUGCGUAGAGAUCGGAAGGAACACCAGUGGCGAAGGCGGCUACCUGGCCUGAUACUGACGCUGAGGAGCGAAAGCAUGGGGAGCGAACAGG